GGUGGCAGGCUGCGCACGCGCGCCGCCUCAUUUCCGGUGCUCUCUCUCUCGCUGGGUCGCUCGGGUCGGCUUUGGUCGCUGUCGGUCCCGCUCUCCCACCCCCGCCAACUGCCGCUCGGGCCUCUGCCGCUGCCGCGUCGCUUCCUCGCUCUCUAGCUCACUCGAUCGUAUAUCUUCCCCGAUGCAGCGCCGGGACGACCCCGCCGCGCGCAUGAGCCGGUCCUCGGGCCGCAGCGGCUCCAUGGACCCCUCAGGUGCCCACCCCUCGGUGCGUCAGACGCCGUCUCGGCAGCCGCCGCUGCCUCACCGGUCCCGUGGAGGCGGAGGGGGGUCCCGAGGGGGCGCCCGGGCCUCGCCCGCCACGCAGCCGCCGCCGCUCCUGCCGCCCUCGGCCACGGGUCCCGACGCGACAGUGGGCGGUCCAGCUCCGACCCCGCUGCUGCCCCCGUCAGCCACAGCCUCGGUCAAAAUGGAGCCGGAGAACAAGUACCUGCCCGAACUCAUGGCGGAGAAAGACUCGCUGGACCCGUCCUUCACUCACGCCAUGCAGCUGCUGACCGCAGAAAUUGAGAAGAUUCAGAAGGGAGAUUCAAAAAAGGAUGAUGAAGAGAAUUACUUGGAUUUAUUUUCUCAUAAGAAUAUGAAGCUGAAAGAGCGAGUGCUGAUACCUGUCAAGCAGUAUCCCAAGUUCAAUUUUGUGGGGAAGAUUCUUGGACCACAAGGGAAUACAAUCAAAAGACUGCAGGAAGAGACUGGUGCAAAGAUCUCUGUGUUGGGAAAGGGCUCAAUGAGAGACAAAGCCAAGGAGGAGGAACUGCGCAAAGGUGGAGACCCCAAAUAUGCCCACUUGAAUAUGGAUCUACAUGUCUUCAUCGAAGUCUUUGGACCCCCAUGUGAGGCUUAUGCUCUUAUGGCCCAUGCCAUGGAAGAAGUAAAGAAGUUUUUAGUACCAGAUAUGAUGGAUGAUAUCUGCCAGGAACAAUUUCUAGAGCUGUCAUACUUGAAUGGAGUACCUGAGCCUUCUCGUGGACGUGGGGUACCAGUGAGAGGUCGAGGAGCUGCACCUCCCCCUCCACCUGUUCCUAGGGGCCGUGGUGUUGGACCACCUCGUGGGGCUUUGGUGCGUGGUACUCCAGUGAGAGGAGCCAUCACCAGAGGUGCCACCGUGACUCGAGGCGUGCCACCCCCACCUACUGUGAGAGGUGCUCCAACACCAAGAGCACGAACAGCAGGCAUCCAGAGAAUACCUUUGCCUCCACCCCCUGCACCAGAAACAUAUGAAGAAUAUGGAUAUGAUGAUACAUAUGCAGAACAGAGUUAUGAAGGCUACGAAGGCUAUUACAGCCAGAGCCAAGGGGAUUCAGAAUAUUAUGACUAUGGACACGGGGAGGUUCAAGAUUCUUAUGAAGCUUAUGGCCAGGACGACUGGAAUGGGACAAGGCCAUCGCUGAAGGCCCCUCCAGCUAGGCCAGUGAAGGGAGCAUACAGAGAGCACCCAUAUGGACGUUAUUAAAAACAAACAUGAGGGGAAAAUAUCAGUUAUGAGCAAAGUUGUUACUGAUUUCUUGUAUCUCCCAGGAUUCCUGUUGCUUUACCCACAACAGACAAGUACUAGAAAACUCCUGAGGCAUUUCCUGGAAUAGAAUGGGUAUUGAAGACCCAUGUCAGCCAUCAGAGGACUCCGGAAACAAGGAGAGCUACCUGCUACUGUAAAGUCUGGCCUGUGGGCAUUUGCUGAGCACAGAGAAACCCAGGAGAGGAGAUCAACAGUUUUGUUUCCCUACACCUCUUGAUUUUUGUGAUUUAGCCACAGAAAGCCAGUCAGGGUCCCUUAAGAGUUGUUAGGCCCAGAGUGGAGACCUCAGGGCUUUAGGGGACCUUGAUGCUAUCAGUUUAAACCUCAAGACUUAAAGAAUUGAAGGGGAGGAACAGUAUUAGAAUAAACUUUGGUAUUCCCAGUCUGCCUACUUCCCCUUAGCCUCCCACGGAACUGGCUGGAACACUCUACCACCAUCUAUCCCCCAUCACCACCAUCACCAAUUCUUACCCGUGUUGUGUGGGUCAGCCUGGGAACCCUUGGUCACUUCCAAAGGGCUCCCAGAGAGAAACUGGACAGUCAUCCCUCUGUAAAAGGCUGAGGAAAGCGAGGCGAGAAGGUUCAGUUACUUUGGGCAAGUUAUUUAACCUGUUUUUCUCUUCAUUGUUGAUUACUUACCUUGUCCAAAAAGCUGUCCAGGGUAGGGCUUCUCCUUCAUUUGUACUAUAUUCCUGCCAUAAGCAUAUGCCCCUGAGGAGCUCAAUAAAGGUUUGGUCAAGUGAUGAAUGUUCCCACUCUAGUAGCUUCUAUCAGCUUUGGAAGAGAAUCAAAGCCUCCCUGUCCAGCUCCCACUUUCUUUCCAGCUACGCUGGGCCAUGUUUUAACAUUUGUUCUAAUGUUUUUUGUUGAAGAAUUGGAAAGCCAGCCUUCAGUAGGCUUCUGGUUUCCUGUGGCCUGUUCUUAGGUUGAUUUAUACUAAGCUUUCACAGAGUUUAGGAACCUCUGAUAACGGCUCUCUUCCCUAACACCUUCUGGUUAAUUUUCCUAACAAAAGCACAAGGGGAAGAAGGGCUGAGUUUAAGGAGAGAUGAGAGUCUAUCUGGCAUUUUAACUUGCCUAGGGCAUUGUGAUGAGCCUGAAUUUAUUAUGUAUUAUCAGGAACAGAAGUACAAUAGAAAGGGACAUUAAAAUCUGUUAAUUUACGUUAGGCAAGCUAUUGAACCUCUGAGCCUGGUUAUUACAAAUAAUAACUAAUAAUUUAUUGUUUCUUAGUAUGUACCAAGCACUAUGUCAAUCAUUUAUAUGCACAAUUUCACUUAGUCCUCCAAUUCAUUAUACUGGUUUUACAGACAAGGAAACUGAGCUCAAGAAGGAUAUAAAACUUGCAUAAGGUUAGAAUCCUGCUAUUAGACUUUGUAGUCCACACUUAAGACUAAUUUGAACCUCUUAUAGCACUGUUGCUCUGAAACAGUAAA